GCAUAAAUAUAGAUAAACAGCAGUUAACAAUAUCAUUACAGGUUUAUUUCACAACAAUACAUUAUAAAUUAGUUAGAUUCCAUGCUAACUGCAUCGUAUAUCAUCAUGUCAUAUGGAAUUUAUUACAUCAGAUAUACAUUAUAUUCUAGAUUACAUAUUUUCUUUUGCAUCGAUAACAUAUGUAUUCAUUCUUUUGCAUGUCAAAUGCUCAUAUCACUAAGAAAAAGAUAGUUCAACUAAAUAUGAAUGUGUAUGAUGCGUAGUGCUCCAAGUUUGUGUAUAAUCCUAUGGAAAAUUGUUGCUUGAUCACCUAGUUGUCAUCCAAUAGAAGAGACUGUGCAUGAAGACGACUCCUAUUAAAAAUAUGAUUUAUAAGCGUGCUUUCAUAGCAUGGCUAUGCUCUCGAUAUCGACAUCCCGAUAUGAGAUUUUCCCUUGGCUAUUACUACUAUAGCAUCGACUAGAUGAUGCACCCAUCUUGAUUAGACAUGUUCUGGGUCAUGGUUAUUUUCAUAGUUUUACAGAAGUCGUUCCAUGGUAACUCUAUGGUUAGUACACAACAUUUCAUGCACAGUCAUUUAAAAUUUAAUCGACAAACAUGGGGUUUAUAAAGGGGGAAUUAGACGAAGAAUAUAACAUGUAUAUAAACGGGCAUAUGCGCAUUCCUGGUAUCCUGAGUUAUAUAUAUACAUGGGCCAAAGAGCCAAUUCAUGACUUGAAGCUGUGUUCCCGGGACGGUUUACGGGGAACCGAUUUAUAUACAUGAAAAUAUUCUUCUCUAAUUCAAAUAACAUGUAAAAUAAGAAUAAUGUGUUUUUAUGCGUUGUGAUAGAUUUGGCAUGCAUGGUAUGACCUGGAUGAAGUAUGGGUGAUGUAUAUUUAUAUUGUUGUGUAUAGAAUUUUGGGAGUAAAUAUUUAGAGAUUUACAAAUUUGAGAUAUAUGGUAUAUACGAGGGUUUCCUUGUUUGGAUUAUUCCCUCGACGUACUCAUCUCUCAUGUUGUGGGUCUCUAAAUCUUAUCUCCUUUUAGCAUAUGGUAUAAGGUAUGUGCUUAUGGUAGACCUUGUUUGAUAUCCAUGUUUAGAACUUCUUUUAUCAUCUUUAAUUGAGUUUUCAUCGUAUUUUGGUUUAUAAGAUAGGCAUUUUCUUUUAUCACUGAAAAUUUUAGAAUUUAUCUUUUCUUUAUAUCUACCACUUAUACUUGCACGCAUACAAUUUCCUCAUUUUACAUACUUGCUGGGAGUUUUCUGACUCCCCUGGGGUUUGCAUGCCCCAGACUUGGGAAUUGUUCUUUCUUCGCAGGACCAAGAUUACUUUAAGGAUUAAGACCAGCGACAGUGAUCACCUUCUCUCUCUUCACUCUCUCAGCUUCAGUUAUGGAGUCUUUCUUGUAAUCACUUGUGGUACUCUAGACUAAGAUGUAUUUUUCCUCUUUCCUAUUUGAAUAGUUGUGGACAUGAUGAUCCAGAGGCGUGAAUGUAACCGUAUGGUUGCAUUGCCGACCGAGUCACGCUCCAAAUUAUCACGUUUUGGACCCGAGGCGUGACAAU